rnacentral:rRNA from 1 species
UUCGCCCUUAGAGUUUGAUCCUGGCUCAGGACGAACGCUGGCGGCGUGCUUAACACAUGCAAGUCGAACGGAGCGCCUAUGAAGGAGAUUUCGGUCAACGGAAUAGGUUGCUUAGUGGCGGACGGGUGAGUAACGCGUGAGGAACCUGCCUUUCAGAGGGGGACAACAGUUGGAAACGACUGCUAAUACCGCAUAACACAUAGGUGUCGCAUGGCAUUUAUGUCAAAGAUUUAUCGCUGAAAGAUGGCCUCGCGUCUGAUUAGCUAGUUGGUGAGGUAACGGCUCACCAAGGCGACGAUCAGUAGCCGGACUGAGAGGUUGGCCGGCCACAUUGGGACUGAGAUACGGCCCAGACUCCUACGGGAGGCAGCAGUGGGAAUAUUGGGCAAUGGGCGCAAGCCUGACCCAGCAACGCCGCGUGAAGGAAGAAGGCUUUCGGGUUGUAAACUUCCUUUGACAGGGAAGAGUAGAAGACGGUACCUGUCGAAUAAGCCACGGCUAACUACGUGCCAGCAGCCGCGGUAAUACGUAGGUGGCAAGCGUUGUCCGGAUUUACUGGGUGUAAAGGGCGUGUAGCCGGGUUGACAAGUCAGAUGUGAAAUCCUGCGGCUUAACCGCAGAACUGCAUUUGAAACUGUUGAUCUUGAGUACUGGAGAGGCAGACGGAAUUCCUAGUGUAGCGGUGAAAUGCGUAGAUAUUAGGAGGAAACACCAGUGGGGGAAGGCGGUCUGCUGGACAGCAACUGACGGUGAGGCGGGAAAGCGGGGGGAGCAAACAGGAUUAGAUACCCUGGUAGUCCACGCUGUAAACGAUGGAUACUAGGUGUGCGGGGACUGACCCCCUGCGUGCCGCAGCUAACGCGAUAAGUAUCCCACCUGGGGAGUACGAUCGCAAGGUUGAAACUCAAAGGAAUUGACGGGGGCCCGCACAAGCGGUGGAUUAUGUGGUUUAAUUCGAUGCAACGCGAAGAACCUUACCAGGGCUUGACAUCCUACUAACGAAGUAGAGAUACAUUAGGUACCCUUCGGGGGAAGUAGAGACAGGUGGUGCAUGGUUGUCGUCAGCUCGUGUCGUGAGAUGUUGGGUUAAGUCCCGCAACGAGCGCAACCCUUAUUGUUAGUUGCUACGCAAGAGCACUCUAGCGAGACUGCCGUUGACAAAACGGAGGAAGGUGGGGACGACGUCAAAUCAUCAUGCCCCUUAUGUCCUGGGCUACACACGUAAUACAAUGGCGGCCAACAGAGGGAUGCAAAGCUGUGAAGUGGAGCGAACCCCUAAAAGCCGUCCCAGUUCAGAUUGCAGUCUGCAACUCGACUGCAUGAAGUCGGAAUCGCUAGUAAUCGCGGAUCAGCAUGCCGCGGUGAAUACGAUACCCGGGCCUUGCACUCACCGCCCGUCA